rnacentral:lncRNA from 1 species
CCAGCACAGUCUCAGUCAAAAGAGCAACACAAUCUUAGAACUUAAUAAGCUGAUUCUAUACUAUUUGGAACAAAAAGUGCACAAGACAAUGGAGGGGGAGACGGCCACAGGUAGCUGAACACAGGGCAAAACUAAGUGAACCACUGGGAACGGGUGCAGAGACAGAGGUUCACACCCACCACCCAGAAGUAAACACAGCAUGCGAAGAGUGGAUACUUGGAGUGAAGAACAGACUAUUUAGUAAUAGUUGGGUCAAGUCCCUUUUCAUCUGUGCUUGGGGAAACAACCCCAACAAAGAGAUAACGCAAAGAAUAUGAGGUAGAAAUGAGUCAUACGAGCAAGUUACAGCAGAGAUCUACGAAGAGCCAAUAAACGUGGGAAUGUUUGGCUUUGCAAGUAAUUACAAAAUUCGAGUUACAGCAAGGUGCUUUUCUAUCACAAGACUGGUUUAAAAACAACCAUACAUAAAGACUGAUGCUACCUUCUGGUGGCAAAGGUGUAAAGAGAUAGGUCCUUUAAUGGACUGUGAACUGGAGGAAACAACAACUAUAUCCAUUACAAUUUUAAAAACUAUGUCAUCUAGCCCAACACUUUCAUGAAGCCAGAACUUUAUUAGAGGUAUGAAAAGAUGUCUUGCACGUAAGUUAGGUACAAUAAGGAGGGUAUAAUCACAUUCAUGUCAAUUACCUAAAACCUGUAAUAAAGAAGGUCCAAGAGACAGUGGCUUAAACAAGUCAGUAACCUAUUUUACUCUGAAGCAACAGGUCAGAGAGCAGUCCAGGCCUGGCAGAGCUUCUCCAUCCUCCGUGUCCACUGUGCGCUCUAACGUCAGGACACUGAAGCCCCAGCGGCAUCCCAGCCAGUAAGCAGGGGCCAUCCAGGGUAGAGCACAGCCCAGUCCCUCGUGUACAGCCCACCUGGAAGUGUUUCAUUGCCCUGCUUGGGACUUUGCCGCGUGGCCACCACUGGCAGGGAGGCUGACUCGCGGUAUAUUCUCAUCACCCCUUGCACAUUUAUGUAGUAACUAAGGAAUUUGUAAACUCCGACAAAAUUUUUAAAUCCUUUAUUCAUACUGAUAUACACAUUAAAUAUAUUUACACUGCACAAACCAUUUAAUAUUCUAGAAGUUAGACUUUAUCUAAUGAAUAAGUUACCUGUCUUGUCAAAACCACUUCCACAGAGCAUCGUUGUCCUUGUCCAUCAAACGAGAGGACAGGAUUGUGUUCACAGGUGUCCAGCCCGAGACACAGCCCACCCAGGGCCAGAGCAUGCAGGCACAGCUUGGGUGAAGACCACCUCACGAUUACUGCACUGCCAACUUCCGACAGGUAUUUUUAGUUGAAGAGAAAGCUACACUUUACCUUCUCUCUAGCUCAAUACGGUUUAGACUUCUGACACUACAGGUAGGAAGCCCUGAGAACAAAAGGACACAAUUUUUCUACAGGCUAGGGAUUAUAAACAUAAAAAUAAAUGGAAAGCUCCCCAGAAGCAAACCAGCCAUGAGUUUUGACCUCCAUUGUGCCAGGUACUGAAGGUUAGGACUCACUGACCUUAGUAAUCCCUCCUAUGGUAAAGUGAAGUAAUGUAACCUUCCUCCCCACAUACACACACACACACACACACAAAUGCACGCACAAACACACAUACAGAUAUAUAAAAAUGAACAAGCCGGAAUCCUAAGAAUGGAAGCAGGAGAUCCUGCUGGGAACCAUGACUGCGGGGAAGGAUCCCUGGCCUGACCUAUCAAUCAAAGUCUCCGCACAGAGAGCCGAGCCCAUAUCGGGCAGCUGCAGCAACACACAGCCUGCAGAGGUGCCUCCUCUGGGUAGCAGGGAAAAGCAGAUGGGACUGCACAUGGCUGCCCACUGUAAGUAUGAGAAGGCGUAGGCCGAGGCAUGGGAGGGAGGUGAGCAAAAUACACGUACAGAGAAAUGGAAGACAAAAAGCACCAGGCAGCGGAAACAUCCAGGAGACAAACUGCAGUGUGACAGCUAUGGCGGAAAAGCAGGAAUACAAUAGACUCAGGGUAACAAGACUUCAGAGAAGAGAUGACAUGCAACCAUGAGAAGGAAAUGAGAAAAACAAGGCUGAGGGACAGGAGUAAGGCUGCACCACCACAGAACCAUAAACCCACGAACAGGCUCAAGUGAAAAGCAAGCCACUGAGACAGGAGAGUCACGCCCAUAAGGGAAGGCAUGAGCAGUGACUGCAGAGGAGCCACAGCUGAAGCGGCUCAGAUCUGAAGGCACCGGCUCCGCAGCAGGGGCACAUACACGUGCAGUCCAAGUGCGUGGGACACCUGCUGCACAGGGACAGGCCAGACCCUGGCUGAGAUCUGCAGGGAUGUUCCUGGGUGGUGCACUUCCCUAGCAGUUCUGCUUGGAUUUUUCAUUUAAUGUGUAAAACAUGGUAACACUUUCAACUUUCCUCGAAAUCAACAGUUACUAUGGCGGGGGGCACCUUUCACUUAAAGUACAGCCGGGAUAAACUGAGUACAUGACUAUUAACAAGUUAUUUCCUGCUUUACUCAUGGUAACACCUGCAGCGGGACAUUCGGUUCAGGGUGGAGCCUGCACUCAGUAUGCGAGGGCCUAAGCUCAACUCUCAGCACCAAAAGCAAAAAUUUUAAAACCUGCCAAUGUAUAGUAACUUAAAAGGAGACUGUUUAUGAAGGCAACUGUUUUCCAAGAUAAGAAACUGAUCUCUUUUGGGUGGCAAAUGGUAAAUUUAAGCAUUUAAAAGUUACGCACCAGAACACUGCUGCUAUCAAAUACUGAAAAUCUAAUUUAUUGAACAGGUUGACUGAAUGGAAGCCAUGUGUCUAGCACCAAUAAAAUGAGACUUCUCACAAGGCGCUCCCUGACAGUAUCUUUUGGCCAAAGGAACACAUGUGCUGCGAGGAUUAUCUGUUGGGUCCCUGAUUUUAUAACAUAGUUCCCACCCCCAGGCCCAGUAUUUCCUUCUUCAGUCAGCAUUUUGAAACUCUGCAGGGCUGAGGAACACCACUUCCUUCCUUGGCUCUGGUCAUGAGGUAGAUGCCAUGUGGAGGGUCACAGGCCCAGGUGGGGGGUUCCGAAUCCUGUGCUGGGAGCCAGGAGGUGGGGGAAUGCCAGACUCAGCAGUACUCUGGCCUGAGUCUCCACACUCCUUCCCCGCCUGGUGUCCUGUGAAAGGUGCACAGGUUCCUCAGCAGCUCGGAAGACACAGGACUGUGAUGCAGACAGCUUGGGCUCGAACUCCUGUAGGAGCUCUCGGGUGCUGGCCUGGCCAUCCACACGGGCCUGGAAAGCAAUGAAGUUCCUCAUGUCCACCAGUAGCUCAUCGUGCUCCGUGGCGCAGGAUGGCGGUGCAGACACCUCUGCCACGUGCCCAUUUUCACUCUCCAAGCGCUCAGGGAGGAUCAGGUGGUUUCUUGCUCUCAUCCUGGCCAAGAGGGAGGAAGAGGUGAGGGCCCCGGAGGAAGAGUCUGUGUCCUCAGCUUUUCCACUGAAGUGCUCCGACAUGUGGUCUUUUCCUUCCCUUUUCACCAAACCAUCCUGCUGAAAGAAGGCAGCAGCAGUGAUACACUGAUUUCUAGGUUAUAUACCCACUUAGCUCCCCAGAGGCAAUAAAGGACCCCAAAUUAACCUGGGCACCAGGCAGGAGAACACAGUCAGAGACCCGAGACUUCAUAUCACAGCCCAAGGGAAAGGAGGAGGAGCCCGACAUCAGAGUCUACCUGCUGUUAAUGUUUCCUAACAAAUUACAGGACCAGAAAGGAGAGCUCCUCAGCCACACCCUGGGCCACACACAGUACUGGAGGCAGGCAGAGGGAGGGCACACAGCAGGGAAGGAGCAGGGAC